CGGCGUGCUUCAUACAUGCAAGUCGAACGAUAAGGUCUCUUCGGAGAUACAUAAGUGGCGGACGGGUGAGUAAAAUGUAGAGAAUCUGCCCUUAAGCGGGGGACAACAGAGGGAAACUUCUGCUAAUACCCCAUAUGAGCGUAGCUGAGAUGCUAUUCUUGAAAACUCCGGUGCUUAAGGAUGAGUCUGCAUCUGAUUAGCUAGUUGGGGGUGUAAUGGACCACCAAGGCGACGAUCAGUAGCUGGUUUGAGAGGAUGAUCAGCCACAAUGGGACUGAGACACGGCCCAUACUCCUACGGGAGGCAGCAGUAGGGAAUUUUGCGCAAUGGGGGAAACCCUGAACCGCAGCAACGCCGCGUGACCGAUGAAGCCCUUCGGGGUGUAAAGGUCUGUCAGUGGGGACGAAAAAUGACGGUACCCACAGAGGAAGCAUCGGCUAACUCCGUGCCAGCCGCCGC
rnacentral:rRNA from 1 species